CCACUGAAACACCGUAACUCGUAUGAUCACCGAAGCUAAGCAACGUCGAGCCUAGUCAUUACCUAGAUGGGUAAACACUUGGGAAUACAGGUCUUGUAA